GCGGAAGUAGUUCAGUGGUAGAACACCACCUUGCCAAGGUGGGGGUCGCGAGUUCGAAUCUCGUCUUCCGCUCCA
rnacentral:tRNA from 15 species